GCCUUCUUCUACUUCUCAAGGAUUACCAGCUUGGUAACAGCAAAAGCCAAGAGGGGGGAGAAAAAGUGUAUCCACGUUAAGCAAUUGGAUUGACCCAGAUUUUCUAGAAGAGCAAUUUCCACUCAACCUAAGAUAAACCCCAGCCAAGCUUCCUCACGCCUUAGAUGAAAGAGGUUGUACUUUGUUUUGUCAACUGAUAAUGCCAUUUCACACAGACCAACAGCAGAUUGAAAGUAUCAAAGAUGAGGAAUAAGAUGUAGAAGUUCCUAAUUGUUGAGGGAUUGCAGGAGGAAUGAGGAAGAGAGAAUCUCGAAUGUACAUCUGAAG